CACACACACACACACACACACACACACACACACACACACACCAUGGAGUAGAGAUGUUCCAGAGACUAAAACUGUGUACUGAAGUUUUUAGUAAUAAUUUAAAUAAGAAAAUCUACUUUAUGUUAAUUUAUUUCUGUUAUUCUACCUUUUAUAUAGAGAAACCUUUGCGGUAGAACACAACGUCUCCACUCCUUCAUUCCUCCGCUCAUCCUCUCAUCCUCCGUCAAGGACAACAACAACCAAUCACAUCCGUCUGGAAGAUAUCUGUCUUCUUAUUGGCUCGUUGGUGCAGCCUGUACUACCCAGAAUUCACAGCGUUUCUCCCCCUCCGGAUCAUCCUGGACUCGGUGUCUCCUUCCUUAAGACUAAAGAAUAACAUCUGUCUUUUUGUCUUUUUCUCGGUCCAAAGACUGGACGGGCUGGACGCCGUCUCCCAAGGACAAACACGGGCAGGCUGUCUUUUAAACCAGACUUUUAUGCUGAAAGGGCAGCCUACUUCCUGUGAUUGCUGGUCUGCUGCCCCCUGGUGGCGGCAGGCGGUAACGGUCUGUUUUUAAAGAGUUCAAUGCUGAAAACUGGUCCUGUAAUGCAAGGAUGACAUGUUGGGGGGGGGGGGGGGCUUUUAUUGUCUUUCUGAACACGUAGGGACAAUGCCCCGGUGUGUUCAAGUCCAUGGAAGAAAGUAAGAGAAAUAAGUCUUCGAACUUCAACAUCCACUGGAUUCUUGAUAUUGAAAUCUUUUAUUUUGAAAAACAUCAGUAUCUGAAUUCUCUUUGAAAGUUAAAUAUGAAGAUUGUUGGUUUCCAUUUUAAUAACCUGGCUUU